rnacentral:pre_miRNA from 1 species
UUUGACUCUUGUCUUAUUUAAAAAUUUUUUGUGAUUAAUAUUUUUGUUCUUACUGGAUGAUAAAACAUAAAUAGUACUUUAUGCGUGACUAAUUUUUUAAAAUUUUUUACAAAUUUUUUAAAUAAGAUGCUAUGGUCAAA